GACGAACGCUGGCGGCGUGCUUAACACAUGCAAGUCGAACGGAAAGGCCCUGCUUUUGUGGGGUGCUCGAGUGGCGAACGGGUGAGUAACACGUGAGUAACCUGCCCUUGACUUUGGGAUAACUUCAGGAAACUGGGGCUAAUACCGGAUAGGAGCUCCUGCUGCAUGGUGGGGGUUGGAAAGUUUCGGCGGUUGGGGAUGGACUCGCGGCUUAUCAGCUUGUUGGUGGGGUAGUGGCUUACCAAGGCUUUGACGGGUAGCCGGCCUGAGAGGGUGACCGGCAACAUUGGGACUGAGAUACGGCCCAGACUCCUACGGGAGGCAGCAGUGGGGAGUAUUGCAAACUGGGCGGAAGCCUGAUGCAGCAACGCCGCGUGCGGGAUGACGGCCUUCGGGUUGUAAACCGCUUUCGCCUGUGACGAAGCGUGAGUGACGGUAAUGGGUAAAGAAGCACCGGCUAACUACGUG
rnacentral:rRNA from 1 species